rnacentral:rRNA from 1 species
GAGUUUGAUCUUGGCUCAGGACGAACGCUGGCGGCGUGCCUAAUACAUGCAAGUCGAGCGAGGGUUUUUAAGACCCUAGCGGCGGACGGGUGAGUAACACGUAGGCAACCUGCCUCUCAGACCGGGAUAACAUAGGGAAACUUAUGCUAAUACCGGAUAGGUUUUUGGAUUGCAUGAUCCGAAAAGAAAGAUGGCUUUUCGCUAUCACUGGGAGAUGGGCCUGCGGCGCAUUAGCUAGUUGGCGGGUAACGGCCUACCAAGGCGACGAUGCGUAGCCGACCUGAGAGGGUGACCGGCCGACACUGGGACUGAGACACGGCCCAGACUCCUACGGGAGGCAGCAGUAGGGAAUUUUCC